CGGCCCGUAGCUCAGCGGCAGAGCGGCGUUCUUAUAAGGCGUUGGUCGCAGGUUCGAAUCCUGCCGGGCCGACCA
rnacentral:tRNA from 1 species